rnacentral:rRNA from 1 species
CCUACGGGAGGCAGCAGUAGGGAAUUUUCGUCAAUGGGCGCAAGCCUGAACGAGCAAUGCCGCGUGAACGAGGAAGGUCUUCGGAUCGUAAAGUUCUGUUGAAGGGGAAAAAGAGCGGAGAGAGGAAAUGAACUCCGAUUGAUAUUACCCUUCGAGGAAGUCACGACUAACUACGUGCCAGCAGCCGCGGUAAUACGUAGGGGGCGAGCGUUAUCCGGAAUGAUUGGGCGGAAAGGGUGCGUAGGCGGCCUGCUAAGUCUGGAGUGAAAGGUACCGGCUCAACCGGUACAGGCUCUGGAAACUGGCGGGCUAGAGAGCAGGAGAGGGCGGUGGAACUCCAUGUGUAGCGGUAAAAUGCGUAGAUAUAUGGAAGAACACCAGUGGCGAAGGCGGCCGCCUGGCCUGUUGACUGACGCUGAGGCACGAAAGCGUGGGGAGCAAAUAGGAUUAGAUACCCGAGUAGUC